rnacentral:tRNA from 1 species
AGGUGUGGAGCUCAGCAGUAGGGCACGUGCUUAGCAUGCAUGAGAUCCUGGGUUCAAUCCCCAGUACUUCCA